CCUACGGGUGGCAGCAGUGAGGAAUAUUGGUCAAUGGACGGAAGUCUGAACCAGCCAUGUCGCGUGCAGGAAGACUGCCCUAUGAGUUGUAAACUUCUUUUGUACAAGGGUAAACCUGAAUACGUGUGUUUAUCUGCAAGUACUGUACGAAUAAGGAUCGGCUAACUCCGUGCCAGCAGCCGCGGUAAUACGGAGGAUCCCAGCGUUAUCCGGAUUUAUUGGGUUUAAAGGGUGCGUAGGUGGAUUGUUAAGUUAGAGGUGAAAUGUCCGGGCUUAACCCGGGAACUGCCAUGAAUACUGGUGAUCUAGAGAGUAGAUGCGGUAGGCGGAAUUCAUGGUGUAGCGGUGAAAUGCUUAGAGAUCAUACAGAACACCGAUUGCGAAGGCAGCUUACCAAUCUAUAUCUGACGUUGAGGCACGAAAGCGUGGGUAGCAAACAGGAUUAGAUACCCUGGUAGUC
rnacentral:rRNA from 1 species